GUCUACGACCAUACCACCCUGAACGCGCCCGAUCUCGUCUGAUCUCGGAAGCUAAGCAGGGUAGCGCCUGGUUAGUACUUGGAUGGGAGAAGGAGGAGGGAUCAUUACCU
rnacentral:rRNA from 1 species